rnacentral:misc_RNA from 1 species
GAAAUGCGAUACUUGGUGUGAAUUGCAGAAUCCCGUGAACCAUCGAGUCUUUGAACGCAAGUUGCGCCCGAAGCCAUUAGGCCGAGGGCACGUCUGCCUGGGCGUCACGCAUCGCGUCGCCCCCCGCACGCCGCAAGGCGUCGUGGGGCGGAUACUGGCCUCCCGUGCGCCUCGAGCUCGCGGCUGGCCUAAAUGCGAGUCCACGUCGACGGACGUCGCGGCAAGUGGUGGUUGAAACUCAACUCUCUUUGUGUCGCGGCUACAGCCCGUCGCGCGUCCGGACUCCAGACCCUCUAAGCGCUUAGGCGCUCCGACCGCGACCCCAGGUCAGGCGGGAUCACCCGCUGAGUUUAA